rnacentral:rRNA from 1 species
ACACAUGCAAGUCGAGGGGCAGCAUGAACUUAGCUUGCUAAGUUUGAUGGCGACCGGCGCACGGGUGAGUAACACGUAUCCAACCUGCCGAUGACUCGGGGAUAGCCUUUCGAAAGAAAGAUUAAUACCCGAUGGCAUAGUUCUUCCGCAUGGUAGAACUAUUAAAGAAUUUCGGUCAUCGAUGGGGAUGCGUUCCAUUAGGUUGUUGGCGGGGUAACGGCCCACCAAGCCUUCGAUGGAUAGGGGUUCUGAGAGGAAGGUCCCCCACAUUGGAACUGAGACACGGUCCAAACUCCUACGGGAGGCAGCAGUGAGGAAUAUUGGUCAAUGGACGAGAGUCUGAACCAGCCAAGUAGCGUGAAGGAUGACUGCCCUAUGGGUUGUGAACUUCUUUUAUACGGGAAUAAAGUGAGGCACGUGUGCCUUUUUGUAUGUACCGUAUGAAUAAGGAUCGGCUAACUCCGUGCCAGCAGCCGCGGUAAUACGGAGGAUCCGAGCGUUAUCCGGAUCUAUUGGGUUUAAAGGGAGCGUAGGCGGACGCUUAAGUCAGUUGUGAAAGUUUGCGGCUCAACCGUAAAAUUGCAGUUGAUACUGGGUGUCUUGAGUACAGUAGAGGCAGGCGGAAUUCGUGGUGUAGCGGUGAAAUGCUUAGAUAUCACGAAGAACUCCGAUUGCGAAGGCAGCUUGCUGGACUGUAACUGACGCUGAUGCUCGAAAGUGUGGGUAUCAAACAGGAUUAGAUACCCUGGUAGUCCACACAGUAAACGAUGAAUACUCGCUGUUU